GCCGUAUUAGCUCAGUGGCUAGAGCAAUGGUCUUACAUUUCGUUCCCCGAUGAGCGCGCCAUGGGUCCCAAGUUCGAACCUUGGAUGCGGUA